CAACACAGUAAAGGAGGAGACCAUAUUUAAAAGAAGAAAAACUACCACAACAAGUCUUAAAUUAGAGGGGCAAAGGUUUAAAAAUAAUAUCAGGAAGUAUUAAUUUACUGAGAGGGUAGUGGAUGCAUGGAAUAGCCUUCCAGCUGAAGUAGUAGAGGUUAACACAGUGAAGGAGUUUAAGAAUGCUUGGUGUAGGCAUAAGGCUAUCCUAACUAUAAGAUAAGGCCAGGGACUAAUGAAAGUAUUAAGAAAAUUGGGCAGACUAGAUGGGCCGAAUGGUUCUUAGCUGCCGUCACAUUCUAUGUUUCUGUUACUUUCCUUGUUUUCUGUUUGCCAAGUUCUGAGGUCACCAGUGCAGAGCCCCAAUGCAAGAGUAUUCCCAUAUUUCUCAACAAAACUUUUUGUCAACACUACACAUAUGCACAAACUAGUUGGGAGAUGUUUUUCUCUAUGACCCUGGGGAGAGUCAAGCUGUAGCAACUUAGCUCAGGAGCUAAAGUCUGUGUAUAAAACAAUAGCAUCCAGUUAAUGGCUUCUAUCUGUUAUAGAGAAGUUCCACUCAUCGUAUUUAACGAGAAGAACUAUGACUAGGGGAAAAACUACUUAUCCUAUAAACUACUUACUGGAUUGGAGUUUAUGGGACAAGACCUCAAAUUCAAGAAUGAGAGGCUCCUGAUUGGCGCGUUCUUUUAAUGGUUAUGAAGAUGUCUGCCUUAAGCUAUUUUUACAAAUAUUUUAAUGUUAUUAUUUGUAGCUAAUUUCGAAAAUAAUAAGUAAUUUUUGACAAUAUUUAAUUUUUAAAGGGGCACUAUAACCAUGACAUUACAUUGUAGUGUUUAUAAUGUUAGCAGACUACUGCUGCCGUCCCCUGGUCCUGAUGCUCUCUGAUAUACAAUUUGGAUGAAAUUUCCAUUAAUGUAAUUUCUCCUAACUUGGAAAAUACAUGAAACAUCAAUGCUGCAUUUACAAAAUAAAACACAGACAAUGCAGGAAAAGUUACU